rnacentral:rRNA from 1 species
GUACACACCGCCCGUCGCUACUACCGAUUGAAUGUUUUAGUGAGAUCUUCGGCUUGGUUUUCCGAGCGGCUUUGGGUCGUUCGGUAUAUAUCGAAAAGAUGCUCAAACGGAUCAUUUAGAGGAAGUAAAAGUCGUAACAAGGUAUCGUAGGUGAACCUGAAGAAGGAUCA